UUGCAGAUGAUAACAAAACUGAAAAAUAAAACCUACAAAAGGAAUUAUUUUUUUGCUUAAUAGUUUUACAUACAAGUUUUAACAACAAAACAACUACAACAAUUUUGUUCUUCUUGAGCAUAGAUCAAACAAAUGAAGAGCCAGCCAAAACUUGACAAAACUUGAGGACAGAACAAAAAGUUGCAGAUGAAGUAAUGAGCAGAGAAUUAAAGAGAGGUUGGGGAGGGGUGCUUCCGUAAAUCCACGAGUUUAAUGCAAGUUGCGCGUUGAACUGCGACUUGCUUGGCUAAGCCACCUCACAUGCCAGCUUUCUCAAACGGCAGAAAUUCUGUAAGUCAAUCACAUCCCGACAGCUCACAAGUCGUGAGCUUAAUUCACGACUUCGCUAUGGCUUGCACAGUGUGUUAAGUUUGGUUAAUGCUUUGACUAAAGUCGCCAUUCAAAGAUGUGAUUCCGUCUAGACUUGUCCUUCGCGGAAAAAUUCACGCCAAUAUAAGUCGGUAAAAGUACUAUAAAUAUGAUCUAUCUCUAAAUUACGUGUAUAUUUAUUUUUAAGAAAAAAAAAUUUCAACUCAACUGAUCCACCUUUUUAAAAAAAAGCCCGAGCUGGUGGAUUAUACAUCGGUGAUAGGAUGAAUUGCAUAUUGAUCUUCUUACGAUCUUCUUAAGAGAGAAAAAGAAUUUAAUGAAUAAAAAUAUAGAGACUAAUAUGUAAAUUUUGCAUUCAUAUGCAUUCAAGUAAGGAUUAUUAUAUAGAUUUACUAAAAUGUCAAUUACUAACUAUAUGAAUUUUAUAAAUAUGUAGACUAAUCUUUAAAUUUCAGUAAACUUUUGGAACUGAAUUGUCACUAACCCUAGCCACGUCUUUCUCCUGUUUGCUAGCAACACUCAAGUACCUCUUUAUCAAAAAAAAAUAAUAAUAAUAAUA
rnacentral:misc_RNA from 1 species